AGAGUUUGAUCAUGGCUCAGAACGAACGCUGGCGGCAGGCCUAACACAUGCAAGUCGAGCGCUGUAGCAAUACAGAGCGGCGCACGGGUGAGUAACACGUGGGAACGUGCCCUUUGGUUCGGAAUAACUCAGGGAAACUUGAGCUAAUACCGGAUAAGCCCUCCGGGGGAAAGAUUUAUCGCCAUUGGAGCGGCCCGCGUUGGAUUAGCUAGUUGGUGGGGUAAAAGCCUACCAAGGCAACGAUCCAUAGCUGGUUUGAGAGAACGACCAGCCACACUGGGACUGAGACACGGCCCAGACUCCUACGGGAGGCAGCAGUGGGGAAUCUUGGACAAUGGGGGCAACCCUGAUCCAGCCAUGCCGCGUGAGUGAUGAAGGCCCUAGGGUUGUAAAACUCUUUCGCGCACGACGAUAAUGACGGUAGUGCGAGAAGAAGCUCCGGCUAACUUCGUGCCAGCAGCCGCGGUAAUACGAAGGGGGCUAGCGUUGUUCGGAUUUACUGGGCGUAAAGCGCGCGCAGGCGGUCCUUCAAGUCAGGGGUGAAAGCCCAGAGCUCAACUCUGGAACUGCCUUUGAGACUGUAGGACUUGGGUAUGGGAGAGGUGAGUGGAAUUCCGAGUGUAGAGGUGAAAUUCGUAGAUAUUCGGAAGAACACCAGUGGCGAAGGCGGCUCACUGGCCCAUUACCGACGCUCAGGCGCGAUAGCGUGGGGAGCAAACAGGAUUAGAUACCCUAGUAGUCC
rnacentral:rRNA from 1 species